UCUAAAUUCCAUGUUCUAUUAUGAACUCAUGCAAGGUUCCAUUCAAAGUCCAGUGAAACUUUCUUACAGCUACAAAUGGAAAUUAAUCAGAUCGGAGAUUUGCUGUGAAAGAAAGAAAAGGAGCCAACUACGUCAUGAGUCUCAAAUCAAGGAAGACAAAAAGGGAGAACUGCAUCCACUUGGUUUUGCUCUCCACUGUGAAAGACAAUUACUGAGAUGGAAUCCAACCACCAUGAGUUUAAGCAAAAUCUGAAAAGAUAUGUUGGAACAGAAGUAUUUCCUCAGCAAAAACAUGGGAUGGGAGCAUCAUUCACAGGAAGAAAAGCCACAGGCACACAAGGCAGCAGAGCCAAAUCAACUACCAAUAAAAUCUUUAUCCGCUCCUAUAAGUUUCAUAGCACAAUUCUUUGGGAAAAAAAAUGGCCUCUCGUACAUGUCCUUCAGGACUUAUGACUUUUGCACUAGAAGAAGCAGUAACAUAGUUGAUGGU